UGCUUAGAAGUGGCAGUGUCUCCUUGACAAUUUAUGCACCUAAAAAAAACAAGACUGUGUGUGUUCUAAGUUCCAUGCACCAAGACGUGACGAUCGGUGACGGCAGAAAGAGGAAACCCAACACGAUAACAGACUAUAACCACAUGAAGUGUGGUGUAGACGUGUUGGACCAAAUGGCACGGAUGUAUUCCGUAAGAUCAGCAACACGCAGGUGGCCAGUAGCGAUUUUCUA